GGAUUUAGAAGUUGUUGGCGGAAGCAUACUAUGUCAUGAUGAGUGCAAGAAGGACUGUAUAUUGAUUCACGACCAAGAAUAGGCGGAAUGAAUCCGGAAAGGGAAGGAUCAAGUUUCUUAGGCUUUCAAGGUUGUUCGAGGGCAUCUUCAAUCGGUUACUGACAGACCUCACUUAGAAGAUUGUGAUCAUUGCUUCGAAUUCAAGGGUGAGCCAAUUCUUCCGGGUUGCCAUGUGAUUCUCUUUCGUCGAUGUCCACCAUUUUCGAUCUUAGACUUAUGUUCUAGUUAGUUGAUUAGUUAAUUAGA